GGCUGGUCCAAAGAUAGUAAGUUAUCUCACUUAAUCAAAGUUACAGAUUGAACUCCCUGUUCUACUCUUUUCCCACCUUCUCACUAUGCACUUGACUAGUCUUAA
ensembl:misc_RNA Y_RNA Y RNA